AAUUGUUAAAGAGCCGCGGUAUCUUGACCGUGCAAAGGUAGCAUAAUCAUUAGUUUCUUAAUUAGAAGCUUGUAUGAAGGAUCGGACAAAGGAAAGGCUGUCUCUAUUAUAAAAAUUGAAGUUGACUUUUAAGUGAAAAGGCUUAAAUGAUUCUAGGGGACGAUAAGACCCUAUAAAGCGUUUUAUUGGGGCGAUAUAGGUAUAAUUAUUAACUACUUAAUAGUUAAUACACUGAUAGGUGGAUUGAUCCUUAAUAGAGAUUAAAAGACUAAGUUACUUUAGGGAUAACAGCGUAAUUUUUUUUGAGAGUUCAUAUCGAAAAAGAAGUUUGCGACCUCGAUGUUGAAUUAAAAUGUCUAUAUAAUGCAGGUGUUAUAUAAGAAGGUCUGUUCGACCUUUGAAAUUUU
rnacentral:rRNA from 1 species